rnacentral:piRNA from 1 species
GGGAGAGAUUUGAGGACUGUGCCA